UACGAGGGAUGCAAGCGUUAUCCGGAAUUAUUGGGCGUAAAGCGUUCGUAGGUGGCUAAGUUAGUCUGUUGUUAAAACGUGGAGCUUAACUCCAUAUCGGCAAUGGAAACUGCUUGGCUAGAGUAUGGUAGGGGUAAGAGGAAUUCCCAGUGUAGCGGUGAAAUGCGUAGAUAUUGGGAAGAACACCAGCGGCGAAAGCGUCUUACUGGGCCAUUACUGACACUGAGGGACGAAAGCUAGGGGAGCGAAAGGG
rnacentral:rRNA from 1 species